rnacentral:miRNA from 1 species
UUGGCUUUGUGGUGGCUCUUGGUCUUUUGGGGCAGCAGCACGCCCUGGAUGUUGGGCAGGACACGUCCCUAAGAAUUGGUGACUUUGCCCAGCAGCUUGUUAAGCUCCUCGUCCUUGCGAAUGGCCAGAUGCAAGUGG